rnacentral:RNase_P_RNA from 1 species
CAAGCAGUCUGGAUGAUCGCGCGCACCGGGAGCCGAAAGGCGGUGCGUGAGGAAAGUCCGGGCUCCGCAGGGCAGGGUGCUGGGUAACACCCAGUGGGGGCGACCCCAAGGAAAGUGCCACAGAAAUGGAAACCGCCCCGCACUCACCGGAACGAAGAAGCCUAAAUAAAAUUCCGCUGCUGAUAGAUGUUGUUAAACCUUUAAGCCUCUGCGCUCCGGUGAGUGCGGGGCAAGGGUGGAACGGUGCGGUAAGAGCGCACCAGCGGCCAGGCGACUGGCCGGCUAGGUAAACCCCACCUGGAGCAAGACCGAAUAGGGAGGCAAGGGAGUGGCCCGCUCCGCCUCCGGGUAGGUCGCUGGAGGCCCCAGGCAACUGGCGGCCCAAGAGAGAUGAUCAUCGCCUUCGGUUUUCGAAGGAACAGAACCCGGCUUACAGGACUGCUUGCUGA